CGGGGGGGCAAGCGUUGUUCGGAAUUACUGGGCGUAAAGGGCUCGUAGGUGGCCAACUAAGUCACACGUGAAAUCCCUCGGCUUAACCGGGGAACUGCGUGUGAUACUGGAUGGCUUGAGUUUGGGAGAGGGAUGCGGAAUUCCAGGUGUAGCGGUGAAAUGCGUAGAUAUCUGGAGGAACACCGGUGGCGAAGGCGGCAUCCUGGACCAAUACUGACGCUGAGGAGCGAAAGCCAGGGGAGCAAACGGGAUUAGAUACCCCGGUAGUCCUGGCCCUAAACGAUGAAUGCUUGGUGUGGCGGGUAUCGAUCCCUGCCGUGCCGAAGCUAACGCAUUAAGCAUUCCGCCUGGGGAGUACGGUCGCAAGGCUG
rnacentral:rRNA from 1 species